rnacentral:SRP_RNA from 1 species
GCCGGGCAUGGUGGUGUGUGCCUGUAAUCCCAGCUACUUGGGAGGCUGAGGCAGGAGAAUCGCUUGAACCUGGGAGGUGGAGGCUGCAGUGAGCCUAGAUUGUGCCACUGCACUCCAGCCUGGGCAACAGAGCAAGACUCUGUCUCAA